AGUGAACGUUGGCGGCGUGGAUUAGGCAUGCAAGUCGAGCGAGAACCGUAGCAAUACGGGGACAGCGGCGAAAGGGACAGUAAUGUGUAGGUACCUACCCCGAGGUCUGGGAUAGCUGCGGGAAACUGCAGGUAAUACCGGAUAAUGUCUUCGGACCAAAGGUGUGAUUCCACCUUGGGAGGGGCCUGCAUCCUAUUAGCUUGUUGGCGGGGUAACGGCCCACCAAGGCGACGAUAGGUAGCGGGUGUGAGAGCACGACCCGCGUCAUUGGGACUGAGACACUGCCCAGACACCUACGGGUGGCUGCAGUCGAGGAUCUUCGGCAAUGGGCGCAAGCCUGACCGAGCGACGCCGCGUGCGGGAUGAAGGCCUUCGGGUUGUAAACCGCUGUCGUAGGGGAGGAAAUGCAGGUGGGUUCUCCCUCCUGUUUGACCUAUCCUAGGAGGAAGUACGGGCUAAGUUCGUGCCAGCAGCCGCGGUAAGAC
rnacentral:rRNA from 1 species